CGCUGACAUCUGUAUGAAGGGAGGUGGUAAAAUAUACAAGUUAGGACUGUGAGCCCUGGUGCCAGCCUGCCUGACUUGAGAUCUGGCUCUGCACCUAUUAUGUGAUCUUGGACAGGGUAGAGGCCAUUGGCUUUUCCAGCACAGAAUCCACUGCCUCCAGAGCUGCUUCCAGAGCUGCUUCCAGAGCUGCUUCCAGAGCUGCUGUUCCCGUUCCCACUUGCACUCCUGGGAGGAGAAGGCCAUUGAAGGCUUGGUAGAAAGUCACAUCAUCCCAUUCGAUGGUGGUGAUCUCAUUGUUCUUCAUCCCAGCAAAGGCAUAGAUCAAGUCAUUGAAAGCUUCCCGGAGUAACAUACUGCAUUCACAGACAGUGAUCUCAUCUUGUAUCCCACUUCAGGUGAGUACAGAGGCAGGGGUUGAUAACCUCAGG